rnacentral:rRNA from 1 species
AGCGAACGCAGGCGGCAGGCCUAACACAUGCAAGUCGAACGGCAGCACAGUAAGAGCUUGCUGUUAUGGGGGGCGAGUGGCGUACGUGAGAGGUAUAUAACGGAAUCUACAUUUUCGGGUGGCUUAACGAAGGGAAACUUACUCCAAUAUCGCAUAUGAUCUACCGUUGAAAGCGUUGGAUCUUCUCAGCGUGUGCGAUUGAAUGAGCCGAUGUCGGAUUAGCUAGUUGGCGGGGUAAUGACCCACCCAGGCGGCGAUCGGUAGCUGGACUGAGAGAAUGAUCAGCCGCACUGGAAGUGAGACGCGGUCCAGGCGACUACGGGAGGCAGCAGUGGGGAAUGUUGGGCAGUGGGGGGGAGCCUGGUCCAGCCGGACCGAGUGGGUGAAAGAGGCCUUCGGGUUGUAAAGCCCUUUUGUUGGGAAAGAAAAGCAGCAGGUUAAUACCACGCGGUUGUGACGGUACCCAGAGAAUAAGCACCGGCUAACUUCGUG